AAUUAAGCCAAUCAAGACUGGCUUUGUUGCAGCUGCCAUCUGAGUGUGCAGCCCUUUGCUGCCAUGCAGCGCAAGCUGAGAGGCAGCACACAAUGAAUGGGAGUUUUAAUGUGGUUGAUGCCCCGCAGAGCACCUGCUUGUCAGCAUUGUUGAAGAUGAGCAAGAGUAGAAGGGAUUAGAAGUAGAUUGGAUGACAGCUCAUUGUGGAGACACAGCUCAUCUCAUAAGUGUGUUCGUCACAGAAGUAGACGUAGUGAAAGGAUAAUUGGAGGAAAACAUCGUGCAGAACCCUGGGCUUAUAUCGUCCCCCAGAGACAGCUUUGGCGAGAAGGCAGCUGUGAAGUUGGACCUCAAAGUGAAGAUCAGUUCUGUUCACUGAUGGGCUGGACCAGCAGACUUGACGACAGCAUACUUCCGUAGGAAAUAAAGGACCUGAUCUGCAGCUGGCUGGAGGAAGGAGCAAGUGGUUCCUGCAGUCUGCUGCUUCAGAAUAAAACGAAUCAUUGAAAACCUUGGGAGUCCAAGUCUUUUUUGGGUAUCUACUUUGAACAGAAGUGACUUUGGGCAAGUAGAAAGGAUUUCAAAUUGAAAUGCCUUCUUAAGUAAUAGCAGGUGUGAGCUUGCUCUCUGGCCUUGUGUAGUUUUCAGAUUUCAUUGUCUUCCAUAGGAAAAUGCUGAAAGUUGAGGAGAUGCAAUUCACAGGGACUGUGACCAUGGCUGUGACCAUAAUCUGGGGCUGUGAAGGUUACACCACCUGUGGUCAGCUUAGUUGCACCAAGAUAAGGGAGCAGUGACAGGCAGCAGUAUAACCAUCAGGUUCCUGGUCUGCUAAGGUAAUAAACUGGGGGGUGUCUAACUCCGGGCUAGAAGUAAAAAUGCCUUCCAUUUCAGAAUAGAGAAGCUGUGUGUGAGUACAGCAGGUUCUGGUUUGCUCGCACGGUUGUAUCUCUGGGAGCUGGAUGGGGCUCCUGGUGAGAUGCUGCACUGUGUCAGCAUUCCUUUUUAAAGGCUGUUCUUUUUGCCACGUGUGGCACAGUGCCGCUGCUGGGUGUGUUUAAAGCCACGUGGGCUGUGCUCACACUUGGACUGAGGAGCUUUUGGCGCUCUGUCUUUUAGGUGAUGUGAGAAUCAGGCUUGUGAUGGAAGAGGUUUUGCUGAGUUGAUUGCAUGUAAAAACAGGCGUAACAGGCUGCCAUGGUACCAUU
rnacentral:lncRNA from 7 species